ensembl:snRNA U4 U4 spliceosomal RNA
AGCUUUGCGCAGUGGCAGUAUCAUAGCCAAUGAGGUUUAUCCGAGGCGCGAUUAUUGCUAAUUGAAAACUUUUCCCAAUACCCCGCCAUAAUGACUUGAAAUAUAGUCAGCAUUGGCAAUUUUUGACAGUCUCCAUAGAGA